CCAGUGUGUGUUCUCUUAUGAACUGCUAAGUGACUUGACAGCGAAAAUCUUUUGUUGCAAACAUCACAUUUAUAAGGUUUGUCUCCAGUGUGUGUUCUCUUAUGAACCGCUAGGUGACUUGAGUGCAAAAAUCGUUUGUUGCAAACAUCACAUUCAUAAGGUUUUUAUGUAGUAUGUGUUCUCUUAUCUACAGUUAAAUGACCUGACUUUGAAAAUCUUUUGCUGCAAACCUCACAUUCAUAAGGUUUCUCUCCAGUGUGUGUUCUUUUAUGUACAGUUAAGUUGCCCGAGCAUGAAAAUCUCUUCUUACAAACAUCACAUUCAUAAGGUUUAUCUCCAGUAUGUGUUUUUUUAUGAGUAGCUAAGUUGCUCGAUUCUGAAAAUCUUUUUUUGCAAACAUCGCAUCCAUAAGGUUUGUCUCCAGUGUGUGUUCUUUCAUGUCUAGUUAAUGAGCUUGACAUUGAAAAUCUUUUGUUGCAAACAUCGCAUUCAUAAGGUUUCUCUCCAGUGUGUGUUCUCUUAUGAAUCGCUAAGUGACUUGAGUGUGAAAAUCGUUUGUUGCAAACAUCACAUUCAUAAGGUUUGUCUCCAAUGUGUGUUCUCUUAUGUUUAGUUAGGGUGCUUGCGUCAGAAAAUCUUUUGCGGCAAACAUCACAUUCAUAAGGUUUCUCUCCAGUGCGUGUUCUUUUAUGUACAGUUAAGUUGCCCAAGCAUGAAAAUCUCUUCUUACAAACAUCACAUUCAUAAGGUUUAUCUCCAGUAUGUGUUUUUUUAUGAGUAGCUAAGUUGCUCGAUUGUGAAAAUCUUUUUUUGCAAACAUCGCAUUCAUAAGGUUUGUCUCCAGUGUGUGUUCUCUUAUGAAUCGCUAAGUGACUUGGGUGUGAAAAUCGUUUGUUGCAAACAUCACAUUCAUAAGGUUUGUCUCCAAUGUGUGUUCUCUUAUGUUUAGUUAGGGUGCUUGCGUCAGAAAAUCUUUUGCGACAAACAUCACAUUCAUAAGGUUUGUCUCCAGUGUGUGUUCUCUUAUGAACCGCUAGGUGACUUGAGUGCAAAAAUCGUUUGUUGCAAACAUCACAUUCAUAAGGUUUUUCUCCAGUAUGUGUUCUCGUAUGUACAGUUAAAUGACCUGACUUUGAAAAUCUUUUGCUGCAAACAUCACAUUCAUAAGGUUUCUCUCCAGUGUGUGUUCUUUUAUGUACAGUUAAGUUGCCCGAGCAUGAAAAUGUCUUCUUACAAACAUCACAUUCAUAAGGUUUAUCUCCAGUAUGUGUUUUUUUAUGGGUAGCUAAGUUGCUCGAUUGUGAAAAUCUUUUUUUGCAAACAUCGCAUUCAUAAGCUUUGUCUCCGGUGUGACAAUAAGUGUGUGUUCUUUCAUGUCUAGUUAAUGAGCUUGACUUUGAAAAUCUUUUAUUGCAAACAUCACAUUCAUAAGGUUUGUCUCCAGUGUGUGUUCUUUUAGUUUUAUGCAUGUCUCACCAAAUUUCCUAUCGUAGAAAAUACCAAUUGUUAGAAACCUCGCAUUUCCUAGACAUGGUUUCAGCUUUUGAUCUUUUCCCCAUACGGUCAAAUAUCGAUAAAAAUAUCACCCAACUGUUCCCUCGAGUCGUUCUUUAUUAAAUCUUUAUAACACUUUGGUUGUUACAGAAUUUCUGAUCAUAAAAACG
rnacentral:lncRNA from 1 species